rnacentral:rRNA from 1 species
CAGCAGCCGCGGGAAUACGAAGGGGGCUAGCGUUGUUCGGAAUUACUGGGCGUAAAGCGCACGUAGGCGGAUCGAUCAGUCAGGGGUGAAAUCCCAGGGCUCAACCCUGGAACUGCCUUUGAUACUGUCGAUCUGGAGUAUGGAAGAGGUGAGUGGAAUUCCGAGUGUAGAGGUGAAAUUCGUAGAUAUUCGGAGGAACACCAGUGGCGAAGGCGGCUCACUGGUCCAUUACUGACGCUGAGGUGCGAAAGCGUGGGGAGCAAACAGGAUUAGAUACCCGGGUAGUCCCUGUCUCUUAUAC